GCUAAUGGGCAAGCAGGAGAGGCAGAGGACUCCACCUAGCCAAUAAAACCAUUAGACCCAGAAGGCAUUCCUUCUCACCAGUGGAAGUGGGCUGCUGCUGCUACCCUACAGCUUUCUGGGUCUGGUGAAGCUGGUGGCCAGACAGGAGAGGGAGGAGACUCACUUUCCUGCCCAUCCAGCAGACUUGGAAGCCACCAACCACAGUCCUGAACAGAAUUAAUCCACCUGGCCACAGAACAGCUACCAGGUGUCUGUGUUCUGGAGUUACACUUCUGCAGUUGUGGCCUUGUAGUCAGCAAUGGUGGCCAUUCAAUAUAACAACUGAGCAGCCACCACUACAAUUCUUCAGUUAAUGCUUGAGAAAAGAGAGAUGCCUCCAGAGCUGUCUCAGCUCUUCUGGUGUGUCAAGACUUUGCUGGAAGGAUUUACUAGAGCAGCUGUCCACCUAAUCUUUCCCUUUAAGGGAUGAGUGUCUGAAGAGUUGGAACAAUUGUUACUUGCAAGAACAGUGCAGUCCACCUUCUUCAAAGUGAGGCAUUUGGGCUUUGGUGGUUCUCCAGAAAGCUGGGCCAGCUCCUUAGUGCAGGUAAAGCAUAUCUGCAGGCUUCGGAAGAGUAGGUAGCAGUAAGUGCAUUGCUAUGUCAACGACAGGGAUAGAAAUAAUAUUUGAACAUAGUCACAAAAAUGGUUAAAAACAUUUCUUAAGUGCCAUGAAACGCUGAUUAGAAGAAUUCUAGAAUGAUGAGAAUCUUCACCAUUUGGGGCUUAUGCUAUACUGAAUUUACAUACAAUUGUUUUAAACAGAGUACAUCAUUUUCAGCACAGAAAAGAUGCUGUGCAGAACAUGCUGCCAUUAGGGACUACAUAUGUGAAAAAUUUACAUAUGGUUGCUUUUUUCCCCACAGUAAAUCAUUUUCUGUGCAGGAAACAGCAGAUAAUGUUUUCUGUGAAAAACAUCCAUCUGCAAGUUUCACAUAGGAUUGGUCUCAAAUUGUGAAUAGUCUUCAUAGCUUUCUCACAGUGGUAAACUUUUUGCUUCCUUCAAGAAAAUAAAAGGCAGUGAAGAAUUGCAUCUCUAUUCAAUGAGAAAAUAUGUAUGGGCAGCAUGAAUAUCAUUGUCUUGCUGAAAGCAGUGGUACCUCUUACACAACUUUGCUCGAUGUCCAAGAGUCCUCAAGGAAAGAGAAACCGUGAAACAAAUUCCAUCUUCUGCUAAUUCAAUGAGAAAUUACUUUUCUACUCUUCACAUCAUCCCACAGGAAAAUCACAGGAUACUGAUGUACAUACCCUAGUUUUUGUCAGUGUGGAGUCUCAUUGCAAUGUUGACAUGUGUCACAUCACCUUGGGAGUUGUUGGUCAGGAUGUUGUUGGAUUUUUUGGGUACUUCUAGUAUAAUCAUUAUAGUAAAAAUGUAUAGAAAUAUAAGAAACUGAAUUGGCUUUGAGAGCAAGACCUGCUUUCAAGAACAGUAGUAGCUGAGUGCAACAUACUCUUUGUAAUGAAUUCAUAUGGUACAAAAACAUUUAUAAAUGUGUGAGUCACAAAUUAUGGCACUGCAA